rnacentral:rRNA from 1 species
UACGUAGGGGGCAAGCGUUGUCCGGAAUUAUUGGGCGUAAAGAGCUCGUAGGCGGUUUGUCGCGUCUGCUGUGAAAACCCGAGGCUCAACCUCGGGCCUGCAGUGGGUACGGGCAAACUAGAGUGCGGUAGGGGAGAUUGGAAUUCCUGGUGUAGCGGUGAAAUGCGCAGAUAUCAGGAGGAACACCGGUGGCGAAGGCGGGUCUCUGGGCAGUAACUGACGCUGAUGGACGAAAGCUAGGGGAGCGAAAGGG